CUCACAGGGAAGAAUUCCUUCCCAAUAUCCCAUCUAACUCUGUCCUCUGGCAGUGGGAAGCCAUUCCCCUUGUCCUGCCUCUCCAUCCCUUUUCCAAAGUCCCUCUCCAGGUG